AUUGAACGCUGGCGGCAGGCUUAACACAUGCAAGUCGAGCGGAGUGAUGGUGCUUGCACUAUCACUUAGCGGCGGACGGGUGAGUAAUGCUUAGGGAUCCGCCUAUUAGUGGGGGACAACAUCUCGAAAGGGAUGCUAAUACCGCAUACGUCCUACGGGAGAAAGCAGGGGAUCACUUGUGACCUUGCGCUAAUAGAUGAGCCUAAGUCGGAUUAGCUAGUUGGUGGGGUAAAGGCCUACCAAGGCGACGAUCUGUAGCGGGUCUGAGAGGAUGCUCCGCCACACUGGGACUGAGGAACGGCCCAGACUCCUACGGGAGGCAGCAGUGGGGAAUAUUGGACAAUGGGGGGAACCCUGAUCCAGCCAUGCCGCGUGUGUGAAGAAGGCCUUAUGGUUGUAAAGCACUUUAAGCGAGGAGGAGGCUCUUUUGGUUAAUACCCAAGAUGAGUGGACGUUACUCGCAGAAUAAGCACCGGCUAACUCUGUGCCAGCAGCCGCCGUAA
rnacentral:rRNA from 1 species